AGAGUUUGAUCAUGGCUCAGAACGAACGCUGGCGGCAUGCCUAACACAUGCAAGUCGAACGGGCACUUCGGUGCUAGUGGCAGACGGGUGAGUAACACGUGGGAACGUACCUUCGGUUCGGAAUAAUACAGGGAAACUUGUACUAAUACCGGAUACGCCCUUCGGGGGAAAGAUUUAUCGCCGAUAGAUCGGCCCGCGUCUGAUUAGCUAGUUGGUGAGGUAAUGGCUCACCAAGGCGACGAUCAGUAGCUGGUCUGAGAGGAUGAUCAGCCACACUGGGACUGAGACACGGCCCAGACUCCUACGGGAGGCAGCAGUGGGGAAUAUUGGACAAUGGGCGAAAGCCUGAUCCAGCCAUGCCGCGUGUGUGAUGAAGGCCUUAGGGUUGUAAAGCACUUUUGUCCGGGAAGAUAAUGACUGUACCGGAAGAAUAAGCCCCGGCUAACUUCGUG
rnacentral:rRNA from 1 species